AUUGAACGCUGGCGGCAGGCCUAACACAUGCAAGUCGAACGCGUGGCGGGCGGGUGAGUAAUGUCUGGGAAACUGCCUGAUGGGGGGGGAUCACUACUGGAAACGGUAGCUAAUACCGCAUACCCUCAGAUGUGCCCAUAUGGGAUUAGCUAGUUGGUGGGGUAACGGCGCACCAAGGCGACGAUCCCUAGCUGGUCUGAGAGGAUGACCAGCCACACUGGAACUGAGACACGGUCCAGACUCCUACGGGAGGCAGCAGUGGGGAAUAUUGCACAAUGGGCGCAAGCCUGAUGCAGCCAUGCCGCGUGUAUGAAGAAGGCCUUCGGGUUGUAAAGUACUUUCAGCGGGGAGGCGUUACCCGCAGAAGAAGCACCGGCUAACUCCGUGCCAGCCGCCGCGGUAAUUC
rnacentral:rRNA from 1 species